rnacentral:misc_RNA from 1 species
AGACUUGAAAGUGAAAGAAUGGUACUUCUGAUACGCCAGAAAGAGCUUGAAUUUCUUGAUCUUCAUCAACAGCAACAACAACUUUCUUCAAACAAGAGGAGUGAGCCAUCUUCCACAACCGGAUGAAUUCAUGAAUUGUCAUGUAAUUAGGUUAAAUUAGAUGGGUUCGUAGAUGAAAAUGGUUUUUGUGGCUUUUGGUUUGUAGUUCAUUAGA